CGUUCAUCGGAUUCGGAUGCUUUAGCGUUCUAGUGAGCUGGUGGAGCCGCAGAAAUCACCGCUCAUAUUCAUUCGCAAGGGUCCCUCUUGCCGCUUGUGAGCACCCGGCAGCAAUCAGAUCCCUCACCCCCUGCUGCCGAUUCUUGCAUAAUUAAAGAGGUUUCGUCAGCGGUGAUUUUGCUAUGGGGGUGAAGCCUACGGUGGUGUUGCGGGCAAUAGCUGCAGCUGGGCUUGCAGCUGGUGCCAAAAUGGCCACUGUAAUGAAAGCAGGAGGGGCUUUGAAGUUGAGUGCUGUGGGAGCUGCUGUAGCAGCAGCUACUGCUGCAGCCACUGGAGCGACGACGGCACCGAAGAAUAAAAUAGAGCAAAAGUGAUGGAGGCUAUUGAAUUCGCAAAUAAUUUUCAUGUUGACUAUCUCGUUCUGCAAAGGGGCAACAGCGAUUUGGCCUUGUGCUUUAGAUUGGUGCGAAAGGGUAAGAGGUUGAUUCUUACACUGCUUCAUUUUUGGCGAAUUUUCUAUUUCAGUAGAGCCCAACUUUGCUCUUCUCAGCUUUAGAGGGGAGUUUGUUUGAGGCAUGCGGAUUGUGAAACUGAAUGGACAGUUCUUCGUGUUUUGAAUGAAGACCAAGAGUUUUUUGUAGUAAUCCUGUCCCAGCACCAUCUCAAGAAGGGCUGAGAAAUUCUUGUGCCAUUGAUGAUGACGAUGAAAUAGUGCAAAAUAAUUCAUGCAUACCUUUUUGGUUUUUUGCAGUAGGGCGUGGUUGCCGAGCCCUCAGUUUGAUUGUAGAUGAUACUUCGUAAGUUUUAACGUCGAGAAAAUUGCUUUGAGCAAUAAAAGACCAAUUUUUUCUAA